rnacentral:rRNA from 1 species
CUACGUGCCAGCAGCCGCGGUAAUACGUAGGUCCCGAGCGUUGUCCGGAUUUAUUGGGCGUAAAGCGAGCGCAGGCGGUUAGAUAAGUCUGAAGUUAAAGGCUGUGGCUUAACCAUAGUACGCUUUGGAAACUGUUUAACUUGAGUGCAAGAGGGGAGAGUGGAAUUCCAUGUGUAGCGGUGAAAUGCGUAGAUAUAUGGAGGAACACCGGUGGCGAAAGCGGCUCUCUGGCUUGUAACUGACGCUGAGGCUCGAAAGCGUGGGGAGCAAACAGGAUUAGAUACCCUGGUAGUCCACGCCGUAAACGAUGAGUGCUAGGUGUUAGACCCUUUCCGGGGUUUAGUGCCGCAGCUAACGCAUUAAGCACUCCGCCUGGGGAGUACGACCGCAAGGUUGAAACUCAAAGGAAUUGACGGGGGCCCGCACAAGCGGAGGAACAUGUGGUUUAAUUCGAUGAUACGCGAGGAACCUUACCCGGGCUUGAA